GGGAGAACAGCUGGAGGAGCUGCAGUCAGAGGAGUCAGUCAGUACUCCGCAGGAGUCUGUAAUGUGUAGCAGGGCAUCAAUUCACCAGCUCCUGUUGUUCAUCAGGAGCUGGUGGAUGGAGACAAAGAGGAAGCAUAGACUGCUUUCUUUUCAACACCCCCACUGUUUCAGACUUUGAGCGCCUGGCCUUGUGGAAUGCUGUCGUACUAGUGACGAAACCAGUCUGGGUGUCGGGGGGUUGGCGAACGUCUGUUCCGGGGGAAGGAGACUAUUCACAAAGCUUCGGGACGUCACCACUGAUGCAACAAAAUACAGAGCCUGAGGUUCACGAGCCUGCACGGAGCCUCUUACAGCAUAGAACAGAAACAACUACUGGGUUCCCGAGUCAAGCCAGUUAUAUGCCACAUCAAUGAUCAACUAAUCUACCAGGUUUUGGCUUUAAAAUAACAAACACUGUCAAACUCCGCACAUUGUUUCAUGCAGAUCUGGACUGUUUUAUUGUGGGCAUGCCUGCUUAGU